UUUACCACUCCCGCUCUCACCAAAUCAACCCCUUCCAUCACUGUCUCUCUCUCUAUCUCUACUUAUUUUCUUACAUCGACAAAACAGAACCCUAAAACAAAAAACACGCAGAAGAGAGACAAAAAGAGAGAAAGACACUGCCUUUCUACAGCAUUAUCGACAAGAAAUUCAAUACCCGUAUUACGUUUUUCAAGAAACAGGGUUUUUGUGUUUAUUAACCUAUUGAGAUUGAUGGUCUGUUCAAAUUGAGUUUUGAUGGUGUUGUUAUGUUGAGAGUGGAUGGGGAGUGAAGAGGUUUUGGAGAAUUCUACUCUUAUGGAUGUUAGUAUGAGUUCAUGCAAUGGAACAAUGGUCCAGCACACAAAUGGCAUCGAGGAGAGUGAGAAUCUAGGUGCUGAUCUACUUAAAGAUUUUGAUUUGUGCUGGGAAGAUAUUGAGGAUCGAUUGACCGUUUCUAGAAUGGUUAGUGAUUCGGUCAUAAAGGGCAUGGUAUCUGCAGUUGAACAAGAGGCAGUGCAGAAGAUUGCUCAGAAAGAAUUGGAGUUGACUAGAUUGAAGGAAGAAUUGCAUCUUUACCACGUGGGCGCAGAUGAAAAUGAAUCUGUGUGUUCAGGGAUGUGCCAAGAGCAAAAAUAUAGAAAAAAUGGUCUUUAUUCUACCCAUUCAGAUACAUUUGUGGAGCAAGCUAUGUUACAAGAAUCUUUGGAAAAUCUUAAAAUUGCAGUUAAAGGGAAGCUCAAGAAGCUCAAGAAAGAAAUUCACAAGGUUAAAGGGUCCUGUUCUAUGAGGAGGAAUUCAGCUUCUGAAAUUGUGGGUUUGAGUGGUAUUCUUCCAGAAAAGGUGCCUGAUAAAUGGAGUGAUGUGGACAGAAUGCUUGAGGAUCUAGGAACUACUCUGGACUCUUUCUACAAACACACAGAUGAUAUGGUCCGUUUCUCCAAGUUAUCACUCUUUGAGUGGCAGCAGGAGAAGGAGUUUCAAGCAGAAAUUGAAGGGCUGGUUAUCCAGAAUUGUAUUAGGGGUCUCCAAGAAGAGUUUGAGCAGAGUUUGUGGGAUCAAAAUACCCAGUUUUUUGGCAAUGUAAGUGCAAGUUGGCUUGAAAAGGUGAAAGAGCUUUCAAGUUUACGUCAGGAAUUGGAUGCCAUCGCAAAGUCACUGUUUGUAUCUGAAAGCGGUCUGUUAAUUUCUCAUGGUUCCUUUGAGCACCGGAAGUCUUCAGGUCAUCAUGUUUCAAAUGGAAAUCACGAUGAGUCUAUAAUUACUAUGCCAGAAAAUUUGGAAGCUGCCCAACUAAAGCACAUGAACAGGGAAGAAUUGUUUCAUUAUCUCAAGACUGAGAUGACUAAAAUGAAGAGACACCAUGAGUCAAAAGUGCAAGAGAUGACGGAAGAAAUUUUCAGCCUCAAGAGGGAGUACUUAAAAGAAAGGGGAUCUUCUUUGCCAGUGAGGAAGGAUAAGGACUUAGACAUACUGAGGAAAAAGAUCGCUGAGGUCAUUUUGAAAUUGGAUGACAUUCUUGUUGAAAAUGAGAAAGUGCCUUCAGCGAGCAACAAUGCAGAGAGUCUUGACAAUAUGAAGGACAGACUUGAAUCCCUUCGUUUAGAAAACCAUGAACUACGAGACUUGCUUGCACAAAAGAUAAGGGAAAUAAAGCUCCUUUCCUCACAAGUUUCUGAUGCUACUGAGAAAAUGUCACAACAUUCUCUGACAGAGGUAAACUUGUUGAGAAUAAUCACAAAUCUUAAAAGUUUAAUAGAAGAUACACAUGCUGAAACUACAAUCAGUGAAGAUCUGCAUAAAAUACUUCUCAAGGAGUUCAUGGGCCAGAUCAAAUGCUUCACUAAAGAAUCAGACCUGGAGUAUGAUUUCAUGGAGGGAAUUUAUGAAAUUAUAUUCAGAGAAGCAGCUCAAAAUGCCAAAUCUGCUAGCAAAUUGGAAAUUGAAGAUUCAGAUAUGGAGUCUAUUAUUACACAAGGGCUGUUGGAAGUUGGUCUUCAAGAGGCCUUCAAGGAAGCUGAGGAGAAACUUGGUAGUUUGAACCAGAAAUAUGUUGAUGAAAAUAAAGUUCGAUUGACGCUUGAGAUGGAAGCUAUGGAAAAAGAAAAGGCAUUAAGAAUGAGCAUUGCAGAGAAAGAAAAACUAGACCAAGAUAUACACUUGCUAACAGCAACAAUUCAAGAGAAGGACAAACUAGUGCGGGAAUCAACAGAUGCGUUGGAAAAGGAGAAGGAAAAUUUAGAGUUGGCUUCUAGAGAGCUUGGCAAUUUAAGGGCUCAGACAAGUCAGCAGCGUCUAUUAAUUUCACAAAACAGUGAAGAAUCUGAGAUCAUUAAACAUGAUUUGCUCGAGGCUUUGGACAAAAACAAACUUUGUGAAGAGGAGAUUAGCAAGUUGCAAGAGAAGAUUCAGCUAGUGACAGAGAACUUGAGGGAAGCUACUGAAGAGAAAAGCAUGCUGCUUGCUGUUUCUCAAGAGAAGCAAUCAUUGGUUGAAGCAAGAGAAAGGGAGCACAGGGAGCAACUGGAUUCAAUAGUUGUUCUUGUCAAUGGAUUAUCAAGAGCAGUUACUGAUUUUGAAAGCAGAGCCACAAAAGAAAUCAAAAGGAGUAGCUUGAGGCUGGAAAAUCUUAGUUCACAAUCGGGUUCUCUUAUUCAGAAGGCUGGUAUACUUACAAGAAUGGGAUUUCUGCACAAGCAGAAGUUGGAAAGUAGGUGUUCUGACCUUCAAAAGGCUGAAGCUGAGGUUGAUCUUUUGGGUGACGAGGUAGAAAAUCUUCUAAGCCUCCUUGAAAAGAUAUACAUAGCACUGGAUCAUUAUUCUCCGAUAUUGAAACAUUAUUCUGGAAUUACUGAGAUUCUAAAGCUAGUUAGAAGAGAAUUGAAUGGAGAAUCUAUGAAACCAGUUUGAUCCGACAAGGUAAUGUUUCCAAAUUAGGUGGUUCCAUCUUAAACAUUAUGUCUUUUGGGACAUGGCAAGAUGAAAGUGAGCCAAAGGCCAUUGGUGUAUGCUCCUAGCUCAAGCUGUCACCUAAACAUAGCAUUCUAUGAUACUGCAUAGUGAGGGAGGGAAUUUUGCCAAGUGCCUUCGCCAACACAUUGAAGCUUCAAACUCUUGCAAAGUGGAAAGCCAAAAAAAUAUUCUUAGUUUUUGGUGUCAGAAGGAAAGGGAUGCAGUCUCCCCCUUGGCCUUUGGAGGGGCACGCCAAACGCCCGCAACAAGAGGCGAGGCAACUUUAGAAAACUUGGUUCUUGUGAUGCAGAAUGGUCCCACAUUCCUGGUUCUGGACUGCUAGUCACAGUGAAUCACAGACUGGUUCUGUGAUUGACAGUUUUCAGUUCUCCGUCCCCCCUUCUGCCUACAUAGAUUAUAGUUUUAUCAUACCAUAGGUUUACAGCCUGUUAAUGUAUAGGUCUUUCUGCAGUUAAUGAAUCAUUCUUGGUAGUUGGUAGGCAAGUUUUCAGCUGUCUUCAUUCUUGAGAUACGAUAGCUGUUAUCCCAAGUAGAAAAGAAAUCUCUUACAAGCAGCAGAUUUUUUGGGAAUCAUCAAAAAGUGAUUCCUAAUCAAAACUAAUGAAAAUCUUAAGCAAUUUCCUUACCAGCAUGCUGGUGGGAUCA